GGCUGGUCCCAAGGUAGUAAAUUAUCUCAAUUGAUUUUUCACAGUCAGUUAUGGAUCAAAUUCCUUGUUCUACUUUCUCCCCUUCUCACUACUGCACUUGACUAGUCUUAA
ensembl:misc_RNA Y_RNA Y RNA